rnacentral:lncRNA from 1 species
AAUUUGCCCCCAUAUAAUCCUAUUAGUCUAAAUAUUUAUUAAGCACUUACUGUAUACCAAGUGCAGUGCAAAACCCUAAGGAUUAAAAGAAAAGUGCCCAGGUCUCUCCAUCAGCAUCAUGGUGGCUGGCAGCUAGGGAAACCCUAAAAGGAAACCACUGGGCUGUGAAUGUGAAGUGGCAUCUUAACAACCAUCCUUGUUUCCCUUUCUUUUCCCAGGGUCAGUGUGGUGACUACCCCCACCGGGAAUACCUAAGCACCACCUUGGCAGCCCUGCGUUCCAACCAGAUAAUUACCCUGAAGGGUGAACAGGGACAAGCAGGCAUCCAAGGCCCCCCUGGGCCACCUGGUCCCCCUGGACCUGCUGGACCUAUUGGACCUCUGGGUAACCCAGGAGAGCCAGGGCCCAUGGGACCACCUGGCAGAGCAGGAGAGCCAGGGAAGCCAGGCAAGGAUGGAAAGGUAUGUAUUUAUGCUUCUGUUUGGGGCCUCUCUGCCAACCUGGUGGCACUGGUGUAUGGUCAUUGUAGCACUUGGAAGGAACCCAUUGGUUGAGCCAAAGGAGAACAAGUAAGGCACAAGCGCCAUUGGUCCAGAGGUGAUCCAAUGUAGAGGUCAUUUAGGCCAUUCUCCUGCCUCCAGAUGGAGUUUCAUCCCAACUACAGCUCAAAUAGGAGCAUCACUAUGAUCAUAUGUUUCUGAAGCCCACUCACUGCAAGUCACAUUCUUACAAUUAAAUACUGGUAUGGGAAAAGAAUAUGGAUGGUUCUUGUGAAAGAUGGGAGGGUGCUGGCCUUGGAAGCUGGAAACUAGGAUUCAAAUCCCAGCUCUGUCAUUUACUCUAUGAGACCAUAGGCAAUGGUCGCAUUUAACUGCUCUGAGCCUCAGUUUCCCCAGCUGCCCAAUAGGAAUGAUACUAAACAGGGCUGCAUUUUUUCCAACCUGGAAGUGCUCUAGAAUUCAGACUAGACCUAUUAUUGUGAAAGAUGCAACAGUCUAACCUAGUUCAACCCCAAGGACCAUUGAUUUUAUAAAGUUCCAGGGCCAGAGCAGAUCACCGUACCCAUCUGAGUCCGCAAGAGCCCAUCUUUCCUUUGGAUCCCGUCCUCCUUUCUUGCCCCACAUGACUCCAAGCAUAAUCAGCAUUAUUAUCCUCUCCCAAAUCCCCUGCUUGUCCCUUGGAAGCGUCCUUCACCCGAGAGAGAAUGCAGCCAUCCCUUCCAGGAGGUAGGAAUAGCUGCCAAAUCAGGGGCCCUCAGGGACUUGAAUGCAUUCAGAAAUAGCUUCAGGAAGCCUGAGCUGCUGGAAGAAGUUGGUUUUUGGGAAGGGAUCUGAACUUGGAGACAGGCAGGGUUGGGAAGAAGGAGGCUGUGGGGAGGAGAACUGUGGACUUGGAC